UGCAGACCUGGGGCGACCGGGUGGGCGCGGCCGUGGUGCGCGGCCCGGAAGGCGGCGACCCGGCCUCGGUGGCGUUCGACGCGGUGGCCCGCGGC
rnacentral:tRNA from 1 species